GAGGGGAGGUCGGAUCCUGGGCUGUGUCCCCGGCGCUCUGUGUUCCCGGGCCUGUGCUGUUGGAUUCGGCUCCUGGCCAGGCAGCCCCCU
rnacentral:pre_miRNA from 1 species